UGGGGAAUUUUGCACAAUGGAGGAAACUCUGAUGCAGCGACGCCGCGUGAGUGAUGAAGAUCUUCGGAUUGUAAAACUCUGUCCUUAGUGAAGAUAAUGACAGUAACUAAGAAGCAAGCCCUGGCUAAAUACGUGCCAGCAGCCGCGGUAAUACGUAUGGGGCAAGCGUUGUCCGGAAUUAUUGGGCGUAAAGGGUACGUAGGCGGUUUAAUAAGUCCUAAUUAAAAGGCUAUGGCUCAACCAUAGUAUGGUUAGGAAACUGUUGAACUUGAGUGGAGGAGGGGAAAGUGGAAUUCCAUGUGUAGCGGUGAAAUGCGUAGAUAUAUGGAGGAACACCAAUGGCGAAGGCAACUUUCUGGAAUCAAACUGACGCUGAGGUACGAAGGCGUGGGGAGCAAAAAGG
rnacentral:rRNA from 1 species